rnacentral:rRNA from 1 species
CCUACGGGAGGCAGCAGUGAGGAAUAUUGGUCAAUGGAGGCAACUCUGAACCAGCCAUGCCGCGUGAAGGAUGACGGCCCUAUGGGUUGUAAACUUCUUUUGAAUAGGAAGAAACUUAUCUACGUGUAGAUAACUGACGGUACUAUUAGAAUAAGGAUCGGCUAACUCCGUGCCAGCAGCCGCGGUAAUACGGAGGAUCCAAGCGUUAUCCGGAUUCAUUGGGUUUAAAGGGUCCGUAGGCGGGUCUUUAAGUCAGUGGUGAAAGCCGACAGCUCAACUGUCGAACUGCCAUUGAUACUGGAGACCUUGAGUACAAAUGAAGUAGGCGGAAUGAGUCAUGUAGCGGUGAAAUGCAUAGAUAUGACUCAGAACACCGAUUGCGAAGGCAGCUUACUAAAAUGUAACUGACGCUGAGGGACGAAAGCGUGGGGAGCGAACAGGAUUAGAUACCCUGGUAGUCCACGCCGUAAACGAUCAUCACUCGCUGUUGGCGAUAUACUGUCAGCGGCCAAGCGAAAGUAUUAAGUGAUGCACCUGGGGAGUACGCCGGCAACGGUGAAACUCAAAGGAAUUGACGG